rnacentral:rRNA from 1 species
AACGAACGCUGGCGGCAUGCCUAACACAUGCAAGUCGAACGAGACCUUCGGGUCUAGUGGCGCACGGGUGCGUAACGCGUGGGAAUCUGCCCUUAGGUUCGGAAUAACUUCGGGAAACUGAAGCUAAUACCGGAUGAUGACGUAAGUCCAAAGAUUUAUCGCCUAAGGAUGAGCCCGCGUUGGAUUAGCUAGUUGGUGAGGUAAAGGCUCACCAAGGCGACGAUCCAUAGCUGGUCUGAGAGGAUGAUCAGCCACACUGGGACUGAGACACGGCCCAGACUCCUACGGGAGGCAGCAGUGGGGAAUAUUGGACAAUGGGCGAAAGCCUGAUCCAGCAAUGCCGCGUGAGUGAUGAAGGCCUUAGGGUUGUAAAGCUCUUUACCCGGGAUGAUAAUGACAGUACCGGGAGAAUAAGCUCCGGCUAACUCCGUGCCAGCAGCCGCGGUAAUGUGACUACUG